CAGCAGCCGCGGUAAUACGAAGGGUGCAAGCGUUAAUCGGAAUUACUGGGCGUAAAGCGUGCGUAGGUGGUGGUUUAAGUCCGUUGUGAAAGCCCUGGGCUCAACCUGGGAAUUGCAGUGGAUACUGGAUCACUAGAGUGUGGUAGAGGAUAGUGGAAUUUCCGGUGUAGCAGUGAAAUGUGUAGAGAUCGGAAGGAACAUCUGUGGCGAAGGCGACUAUCUGGGCCAACACUGACACUGAGGCACGAAAGCGUGGGGAGCAAACAGGAUUAGAUACCCCCGUAGUCCCUGUCUCUUAUAA
rnacentral:rRNA from 1 species